AAGUCGUAACAAGGUUUCCGUAGGUGAACCUGCGGAAGGAUCAUUAACACGUAUCCAAACGUUAAACCCCCGUGAACUUUCAGUCCUGCUCUUGUAGCUUGUGAGCAAUCUCGGUAAAUCAAGUGGGAGGAAAGUUCUGAUUCGAGACCUCUGCACCAUGUGGGUUACAAUUGAGCGGUAGCAUGGCGUCCCAAGUGAAUGUCAGUGUCAUUUUGGAACAAGUGAACACUUCUCGGUUGCUAGAGGUCGCUCACCGACCGGCAGACAUGUCACAGGGCCUUGCGCCCCCUAAUCACCCCUUGCCUAUCACCCCCGCCUCCCGACGAAAGUCCGAGGCACAACUGUUAACAAUGGAUAUCUUGGUUCUCU
rnacentral:misc_RNA from 1 species